rnacentral:rRNA from 1 species
AGUGAACGCUGGCGGCAGGCCUAACACAUGCAAGUCGAGCGGCAGCGCGGGGGCAACCCUGGCGGCGAGCGGCGGACGGGUGAGGAAUACAUCGGAAUCUACCCAGUCGUGGGGGAUAACGUAGGGAAACUUACGCUAAUACCGCAUACGACCUGAGGGUGAAAGCAGGGGACCGCAAGGCCUUGCGCGAUUGGAUGAGCCGAUGUCCGAUUAGCUAGUUGGUGAGGUAAAGGCUCACCAAGGCGACGAUCGGUAGCUGGUCUGAGAGGAUGAUCAGCCACACUGGAACUGAGACACGGUCCAGACUCCUACGGGAGGCAGCAGUGGGGAAUAUUGGACAAUGGGCGCAAGCCUGAUCCAGCCAAUGCCGCGUGUGUGAAGAAGGCCUCGGGUUGUAAAGCACUUUGUCCGGAAAGAAAUCCUGUCGGUUAAUACCUGGCGGGGAUGACGGUACCGGAAGAAUAAGCACCGGCUAACUUCGUGCCAGCAGCCGCGGUAAUACGAAGGGUGCAAGCGUUACUCGGAAUUACUGGGCGUAAAGCGUGCGUAGGCGGUUCGUUAAGUCAGAUGUGAAAGCCCCGGGCUCAACCUGGGAAUUGCAUUUGAUACUGGCGGGCUAGAGUACGGUAGAGGGUGGUGGAAUUCCCGGUGUAGCAGUGAAAUGCGUAGAGAUCGGGAGGAACAUCUGUGGCGAAGGCGGCCACCUGGACCAGUACUGACGCUGAGGCACGAAAAGCGUGGGGGAGCAAAACAGGAUUAGAUACCCCCGGG